CAGAACAUCCUCCUGUAAUGGAACAGAGUAUGAUACCUCAAAGGAUACAUGUUGUCCAGUCCACGCUGACAGAAAAAAUGGUAAACUGACAAAGGGUCUCAGUGAAAGAAUGUCUCAGUGCUGUGGGCUAGAAGCUUACAACCCUCUGAAUGAAAUAUGCUGUAAUAAAACUGUGAAACCAAAACCUUCCCAUGAUGCCCAGUGCUGUGGGAAUGAGCCUUACGAUCCAAAGAUGAAACUAUGCUGUAGUGGAAACCCCCAGAUCAAGCUUUCUGCUUACCAUCGGUGCUGUUAUGGAAGUCAGUUCGACCCUCUCAUUGAAAAAUGCUGUCAAGAUAAAUUUCCAAGGAUACAGCUAAAAAUCAGUGAUUUUGACAACUGUGUAAAAAACAUCAAACUGGAUGGACAUCAAAGCACCUGUCAAGGGUAUGUAAUAACUGAUAGUUUUUCAACUUGUGUACC